CUUCUAAAGAUUAAAAAAACCCCUACGAUUAAAAACCUCAGGUCCCUCAGGCAAUCAUACCAGAUAUUGAAACAAAGCAAUAACAUAAGGACUGCAGUAUUCAUUUUAUUUUUAUAUUAUUUAUUUAUUCUUCCUUAGUUUCUUGAGAUUAUCAUCCGCUGAGGGUGGAAGGGGAGUGAGCAGACACACUCAGGAGGUGUCUUGAGAUUAUCAUCCGCUGAGGGUGGAAGGGGAUAGAGCAGGCACUCGGCAGGUGUCUUGAGAUUAUCAUCCGCUGAGGGUGGAGCUGAGGGUGGAAGGGGAGUGAGCAGACACUCGGGAGGUGUCUUGAGAUUAUCAUCCGCUGAGGGUGGAAGGGGAUAGAGCAGGCACUCGGCAGGUGUCUUGAGAUUAUCAUCCGCUGAGGGUGGAAGGGGAUAGAGCACACACUCGGAAGGUGUCUUGAGGCUCAGGGAGUUAUCAAUUAUAGAAUGUUGUUGAGUUGGAGGAG
rnacentral:lncRNA from 1 species